GGAACUGCACGUUUCUUAAGGUUAAAUUUAUUAUUUUAUUACCAUGUUCUUUCUUCAGAUACAGUGUCCUUAUGCAGAAUACACUUAAUAAAAGCAUGAUCAAAUAUAUAUAUAAUGAGAGUUUGAAAGUUUAUGUUAGCAGAAUACAUAAUAUAUAAUGGUACUCAGUUAUGUUAUAGUAAUUCUUACAUUACACAUAACUGCUAAGUCUGUAGCUACGAUACCCUAGUCUUUAUUUAUUUAUUUAUUUAUUGGCCACUAUGGCUGGAGCUAAGCCGAUCCAAAGCCAGGAGCCAGAUAUUUCCUCUUGGUCUCCCAUGCAGUGAAGGCGCCCAAGCACUUGGGCCAUUCUCCACUUCCCUCUCGGGCCACAGCAGAGAGAUGGACCGGAAGAGGAGCAACCGAGACUAGAACCCUGCACCCUUAUGGGAUGCUGGAGCCGUAGGCGGAGGUUUAACCAACUGAGCCACAGCGCCAGCCCCCAUGAUACCCUAGUCUUUAAUGCUAUAUUCAAUUUGUGUAUGUUUUCAUAGUUUUAAAAGAUCAUAUUUCUAAAAGCCCUGUCUACAUUUUAAAGAAUUAUUUUAUUUAUUUAAAAGAUAGAGUUAAAAAAAGAGAGGGAGUGGGGAGAGAGAGAGGGAAAAAAUGGAGAGAAAAUAUCUUCCAUCCCCUGGUUCACUUUCCAAAUGAGUGCAAAAGCCAGGGUUAGGCUGAAGCCAAGAGCCUAGAACUCGAUCCACAGUUUCUUCAUGGGUGGCAGGGACUCAUGUACUUUUUCCAUCCUCUGCUUAUUUCCUACUCCCACUAGCAGGAAGCUGGAUUGAAAGUGCAGCAGCUGAGACUAUCUGCUUCACAACAAUGCCAGUCACUUUAUGCAUUUUUUAAAAUUAUUCUUUCAAAUCAUGAGUGAAAUUUUAUUUUAAUCUACCCCAAAAUGUGUUACAGUAAAUAAUAAUUGUCUGGAACUCAACAUGUUGUGGAGUGAAGGAUAUUAAUUUUUCUCAACACAUUAUAUUUAUUUAAAUGAAGAAGUGAAUAAUUGUUCUUCCAAUGAUAAAUCUUAAAAGUUUAAUUUAACUCCAUGAGGAGAACAGGAUCUGAGUUGAUAUUUUAUUUACCUAUGACUGAUUUCAUAUAUGUAUAAUGAUCUCUAAUUGUAUAUCAUUGUUUAGAUUAUAUCCAUGUAUGUAUAUAUAGUGACACAAUUUUACUCUGUCUGUUAGAGCCAUUAUCAAUUAUUAUUGGAGCUCACAGAUAAUUUAAGAAUAUUUUAGAAUUUUCUACUGAAAUCAGUUAAGAGAAAUUGAUUGGAAAAUUUGAAGCAAUUUGACAACAAAAUAAAAAAAGACAUGUCUAGUGUCACAUUCUUCUGAUGUCUCCCCUCUUAUGCAUAAUUUUCCUCAUUGAUGUCUUCACAUCUUCGUUCUUAAUGCUCUAAUCAUAUGCAUGCAGCCAGUUGUGUCCUUUUCUAGUUCUUAGAAAGCUGAAUUGAAUAAUUUUACACCAAUUGAACAGCAAAUGGCUAUGUUGCCAUAGUGAAAAUGGGCUAAUUAAGACAUUUAGACAGGGAAAAAAAAAUUCCUCUUCGAGAUAGAAAUUUGUUACUACAUUAUUUUUUGGUAUGCCGAAACCUGACUUCAUCUUUGAUGAAAAUACCUGUGUUUAUAGGCUGUAUAAAAGACAGCUCUUAACAUGAGGGUGCCGAACCCUUUAAAAUACGGUUGCUGAGGACGGUGCUGUGGCUUAGUGGGUAAAGCCGCCAUCUGCAGUGCCAGCAUCCCAUAUGGGCACCGGUUUGAGUCCUGGCUGCUUCACUGCUGAUCCGGCUCUCUGCUAUAGCUUGGGAAGGCAGUGGAAGGUGGCCCAAAUCCUUGGGCUUCUGCACCUGCAUGGAAGACCCAGAAGAAGCUCCUGUAUCCCGCACAGCUCCAGCCAUGCAGCCAAUUGGCGAGUGACAGCAGCUGGAAGAUCUAUCGCUCUCCCUCUCCCUCUCUUUCUCUCUCUGUGUAACUCUAACUUUUUCAAAUAAAUUUUAAAAAUCUGAAAAAAAGAUAUGGUUGCCUUCCUCUAUUUCAAUGCUUUAAAUGAUAUCUAAAAUAUCCUCUUCAAGCUUUGUAUUCUGGGUUGUUAUUGUGUUCCUGGAUGUAUUCCAUCAUUUAUUCAUUCCUCAAUAUAAAAUGCUUCUGUGAACCAUGAAUUGAGGAGGAUAAAGACAAGAGAAACUAUGUAUAAUCUUAAAUAUCUUACUGUCUAUUGGAGAGAUAGUCAUACAUACUGGAAUACACUUGAUUAUACUAGGGAGUUUUCUGAUGAACUAUAAGGCUAUGGGCAAGAGACAGAUCUAAGGAAGGUGAAUUUCACAAAUUAGUCUCUUGAAGCAUCUGGAGGAUGUCAUUAGUCUUCUCUCCUUUCCCUGUUGAUUGGGCCUCUAGGCACGAAGAUGAUAUUGUAAACCUAGAAGCUCAAAUGCCCCAGAGUGAUGGUUGCCUUCUAGAAGAGACCAUUGUCACUCCACAGAUGCUUAGGAAGUCCAAAAAAGGUACUAUUUCAGAGACCAGCACAUUGAAUAUACCAGUAGCCUUCCUAGUUCUACAAGGAAAAGUUUACACCCAUUUCGUGGAGGUGUCUACCCAUGCCAAGAGUACUGGAUAUUUCUUGUUUCAUUCACAUAGCUAGAAUCUAGCUUCCAAUUCUCCCCUGGAUGACUCCUUUCUGUUAUACUACUGUGAAAUGAAUUCUUACAUUUAAGGGGUUGUUCCUAAGACAAAGUUCAUAGUUCCCCAUAGCCUGUUUUAUAAUAAACUUGGAGUCAUUUCCAGUAAGUAGCCUCUGAGCCAGCCAGGUGGAAAGUUAAUGGUGAGUUUUAAGUGUCUUCCACUUGCAUAAGGAUUGAAGAUGGAGCCUUCGUUUUUCAGGCUGAAACCAAACACUGGGCUUGAGAGUAUAACCUGUAGACAGGCAGUACCCAUUGUGUAUCUUCAGAGGAGUAUUGUGGACUGAUCUCUUAUUAGGCAUUUUCCAAAUUCAAAGCAGCCUCUAAAGGCUCAAAGAAAGAAAUGUCCUUGGCUUCUGAUCCCAUUUCCCUCACUUACUUCAUUAAUUCCCUUUGUUUGCCCUUAUAGUGUUGCCUCAUUUAAGGUAACUAUGGCAUAGCCACUGUGACUGGCUCCUUUUUCAACAAGGGAACUCUCAACUGUAAAUAGAAUCCAGUCUAUAUCCUCUAGAGGAAUCUUACUGAGGUCCUCUCUGACUGCGUACGUCUCAAGAAUGACCUGUUCACACUCAUGUUCAGGACACUCUAUCUCCUCUGAAGAAAAAAUAGUGAAAUUUGGAGAGGAGUUAAGUCUUGAGGUGAAUUCCAGGGCCCUCCAGCAGUAAUGCCUGGUAUUUUAAAAGGCAAUUUUCUGUAAAACAGAGGCUUCCUUUUUAAGGCUAAAAACCCUCUCCCAUUAUGGGCAAUGUAAACUAUGAGAUAUUGUUGAGCAUCAGUUUAGUGGCUUCGCAGAUUAGAAGGGAGAAAACAACCAACCCACUGAGGCACAGUGGCUACAGUUUUGUUACCAGAUCAGUUUCUUUACUAUGAUACUCUCCAGGCUGCUGAAAUAGUCUCUUAAACUGGAUCAGUACUCAUAAAACCCUGUUCUCUCUUAUAUAUAGAUUCAAGACUUUACCCAUUGGCAGUUUACAUUCAAGGCCUUGAGUAAGGCCUGUUUAAGUUGGAUAAAGGACUGUUCAACCUCUGAGCCCCUUGUCAAAGUAUGGAUCCCUACUGUCCGGGUAUCUUAUCUGUUGGUGCAAAGGGCAGGGUAUUUCCUAAUUUCUGGGGAUUCAGAGUCAACAGAAUUGUGUAAAUCCUAGGAAGCUUCGAAACUAUUUAAGAUUUUCAGGAGGUGGAAAGAUGGCUAUGGGCUUGACUCUAUUCUCCCAGUGCACUGAUUUCUUCAAUAUGGUUAAGCCUAGAUAUUUUGCAAAAGACUGGCAGAGUUAGGGUUUAGAUUUUGAGAAUUUAUUGUCCCUUAUGCAGGAAAGUUGAGAAGGACCUUGCUGCUCUCUUGGGACUCCUCUUUUGUCUGAUGGCCAAGGGGAUUGUCAUUCACAUACUGUAGAACAAUAGCCUGUGGAUGGGAAAACAAGACAAGAAACAAGGUGUACAAGGAAAUUGAAUAAACAGUCUCCAAACAUUACCUUUGGAUGAGACCUAUCCAUGCAAAUAUCCUUGUGGUAAUACAGCCCAAGCUAAUUGAGUGGACUCAGUUGGAAGGUCUUUUUUAUAAGAUUUUAUUUAUUUAUUUGAGACAUUAUACCGACAGUGAGAGGGAGAGACAGAGAGAAACGUCUUCCUUCCAUUGUUCACUCCCCAAAUGGCCACAAUGGCAGAUGCUGCAGCUGAUCCAAAGCCAGGAGCCAGGAGCUUCUUCCUGGUCUCCCAUGCAGGUGCAGGGGUCUAAGGACUGGGGCCAUCUUGUACUGCUUUUCCAGGCCACAGCAGAGAGCUGGAUUGGAAGAAGAGCAGCCGGGACUCGAACUGGCCCCAAAUGGGAUGCUGGUGCCUCAAGUGGAGGAUUAACCUACUGUGCCACAGAGCUGGCCCCAAGGGAGGUCUUCAAAAGCAAAUAUUGGGAGCGGGGGUGAAGUUAUUGAUAAAAUAUGCCCUUUGUCUCUAUAACUCUAAGCCAUUGAGUCUCUUUAGGAGUUUGGUAGAGUAAAUUAUAAAGGUUAGGGCUAUUGGGUGAGUGGUGAUCAUAGCACCAGUUAUGAGACAGAGAUCCAGUACCAGCCUCGAUUCUCCAUUUGGCUUUUCAACUCCCAGAACUGGAGUUUUACAGGGACUAUUGCAUGGCUUCAAAAUUGCCCAAGACUAUAAGUUGUCUAUUAUGGCUUUUAACCCUUUCAGAUCUUUGGUAUUAAGGAUAUUAUUUUUGAUGAAGAAAACAGGAGGGUUUUUAUUUUGAUGAAUGCAUAGUGGCUGGACAGUUAUUGCUCAAACAAUCUUUCCCUGCACUGCCCAUACUUCUGGAUUAAUACACGUAUCACUUACGAAAAUGCACAAGGGUUACUCUGGGGCCAUGAAAACAGUGGUUCCCACCUUUUUGUCAUUGGUUCACCCCCCAAUGGCUGCUGCGGCAGGUAUGCUGAGGCUGGCGCACCACACUGAUCUGAAGCCAGGAGCCAGGUGCCUCUCCUGGUCUCCCAUGCGGGUGCAGGGCCCAAGGACUUGGGCCAUCCUCUGCUGCACUUCCGGGCCACAGCAGAGAGACUGGAAGAGGAGCAACCAGGACAGAAUCCGGCGCCCCUACUGGGAAUUUAACCUGGGGUGCUGGUGCCAAAGGCAGAGGAUUAGCCUAUUGAGCUGUGGCGCCGGCCUAAAUAAAUAAAUCUUUAAAAAAAUGAUUGCCUAUCAGGAGAUAAGAAAGUAUGCUUGACUAAUGUCUCCUUACAUCUCUCUAAGAAGGUGGAGGGGAUGUCCUCUGCACCUUAGUCUGUCAUGUACUUCUUGCUAUUGUUUAGGGGUUUGGUUCUCUUCUUCCUCAAUCUAUUCAGGGCACAAGAAAUAAAAUGUUUUCAUUGCCAUUUAUCUACAGGGUCAUCUCACAUCCACUUAGGAUGAGGCACUUCCUGAGAAACAGCUUGUUUUCCUGAAGAAUAUGUCUGUUCCUUGUCUCAUUGAUCAGAAAACUGAGGUUGCACAACUAGGAUGACUUACACACCUCUGACAUGGUUGUUAGAUAACUCUCUGUCCCUGAGGUGGGUGUGCUUCCCAAGGGUAGAGACUUCCCAUAUGUGCGUACCCAUGAUCCCUACAGUAAUGGCAACAUCCACUUACCCUAAUGGUUUAACCACUGGUGGCAAGAAAUGUUAGCUGGGAAAGGGAUGUAAGCAAGGGUGGGAGUGCAGCAGGGAAGGAAGCCAACUCCCCAUUUCUCAGCCUUAGUCUAACACUCUGUAAGAGGGAGAGAUCAUCAUCUCCACUCCCCCCACCAUGAUGCAAUCAACAAAACAUGUAAAACAAGCUAUAUCUAGUAUAAAGCCAUGGAGAAUGGGCUCACUCUGAGAUGGCAUCACAUUGACUCUGGAGUACAAAUAUCAGAUUACAGCAUAAAUUGGGCAUCAUUUUACAACAUGAGAAUGUAUUUAAAGAAUUUUUAAAUGUUUAAGCCAUUUGCUUACAAUAAAAGUAGUAAUAAUCCAUUUAUUCUGAAUAUUUUAACCAAAACUGUUGGCCAGAUCUAAGAAUUAUGGUAAUCAUUCAGUUAAAAAUAGGGAGAUGAUGCUAAAUCAUUUAAGAUUCAGUUCCCCUAGGCAAUCGAGAAUUAGAUAAUCAUGUUGUGAAGAAGUUGAAGAAAAAAAUACAGCAAGAUGUGAACUGCAGAGAAAAAAAAAUCUACCUAACUAGGUUGCUAGUUUAGAAGACUAUGAUGGAGUUCAAAAUCUCUGGAGAAAAAAGGCUACCAUGGUCCAUUUCACUCACUUUCAGAUGAUUCUGGAUAAACACCCAAGAAAUGUUGCAAGAGUCUGUGGUAAGGGUCAUUUAUAUUUGUGUCUCCUGAUCACAAAAAAUUAGAAGCAUAUACAAGAAAGGGUUUGUAAAAAAGCAAUUUAUUGGAAACAAAAAUAGAAAAUACAAAAGAAAGAAUUCACAGUUGAG